GGAGAGUUGGCUGAGUGGCUUAAGGCGCACGACUGGAACUCGUGUAAACGUUAGUAGCGUUUCGAGGGUUCAAAUCCCUUGCUCUCCGCCA
rnacentral:tRNA from 1 species